rnacentral:rRNA from 1 species
UACGUAGGGUGCGAGCGUUGUCCGGAAUUACUGGGCGUAAAGAGCUCGUAGGUGGUUUGUCGCGUUGUUCGUGAAAACUCACAGCUUAACUGUGGGCGUGCGGGCGAUACGGGCAGACUGGAGUACUGCAGGGGGAGACUGGAAUUCCUGGUGUAGCGGUGGAAUGCGCAGAUAUCAGGAGGAACACCGGUGGCGAAGGCAAGGUGCUGGACCACUUCUGACGCUGAGGCGCGAAAGCCAGGGGAGCGAACGGG